CAGAUUGAACGCUGGCGGCAGGCCUAACACAUGCAAGUCGAGCGGUAGCACAGAGAGCUUGCUCUCGGGUGACGAGCGGCGGACGGGUGAGUAAUGUCUGGGAAACUGCCUGAUGGAGGGGGAUAACUACUGGAAACGGUAGCUAAUACCGCAUAACGUCGCAAGACCAAAGUGGGGGACCUUCGGGCCUCAUGCCAUCAGAUGUGCCCAGAUGGGAUUAGCUAGUAGGUGGGGUAACGGCUCACCUAGGCGACGAUCCCUAGCUGGUCUGAGAGGAUGACCAGCCACACUGGAACUGAGACACGGUCCAGACUCCUACGGGAGGCAGCAGUGGGGAAUAUUGCACAAUGGGCGCAAGCCUGAUGCAGCCAUGCCGCGUGUGUGAAGAAGGCCUUCGGGUUGUAAAGCACUUUCAGCGGGGAGGAAGGCGUUAAGGUUAAUAACCUUGGCGAUUGACGUUACCCGCAGAAGAAGCACCGGCUAACUCCGUGCCAGCAGCCGCGGUAAUACGGAGGGUGCAAGCGUUAAUCGGAAUUACUGGGCGUAAAGCGCACGCAGGCGGUCUGUCAAGUCGGAUGUGAAAUCCCCGGGCUCAACCUGGGAACUGCAUUCGAAACUGGCAGGCUAGAGUCUUGUAGAGGGGGGUAGAAUUCCAGGUGUAGCGGUGAAAUGCGUAGAGAUCUGGAGGAAUACCGGUGGCGAAGGCGGCCCCCUGGACAAAGACUGACGCUCAGGUGCGAAAGCGUGGGGAGCAAACAGGAUUAGAUACCCUGGUAGUCCACGCCGUAAACGAUGUCGAUUUGGAGGUUGUGCCCUUGAGGCGUGGCUUCCGGAGCUAACGCGUUAAGUCGACCGCCUGGGGAGUACGGCCGCAAGGUUAAAACUCAAAUGAAUUGACGGGGGCCCGCAC
rnacentral:rRNA from 1 species